GUUGGCGUAGCUCAGUGGUAGAGUGCAUGCUGUGUAUGUAUGAUGUCCUGGGUUUAAUCCCGAGCUUCUCCC